CACGGGUCUGUGCUAAAUCUUCACGUCCCAGUCCCUCAGAACUCUUGAUGAUCACCAUGUGAUUGUGUACACCAGUUACUAAGAUACCCGCCAUCCCUUCACUAUGAUGUAGAUUUUGAGCCUCUCUGCUAGGCCUAUGUAUUAAGGGCUUGCUCCCAAAUGUUAGUGUUGCAGGAAGGUUGGUGAACUUUAAAGAGGUCCGGGCAGCAACCUUUUAAAUGUGUUGUCAAAUCCUGUGUCCUUCACUGCAUCAUCUCCCAUAACUUCUUAUUGCGGUCCCAGAAGGAUAAGAGUUCAUCAUGGUGGGGAGGCACAGCAGCAAGCAGAAGGCAUAGUGACAAGAGGAGGAAGCCUGAAGCUCUUAUCUUCAGCCUCAAACACAAAGCAGAGAGAGAGAGAACUGGACAUGGGGUGAGAUAAUAAACACCCAAAGCCCUCCUCAGUAACAUGCUUCCUCCAGCAAGCCUCCACAACUUAGACUUUCCUAACAGCACUACCAGCUGUGGAACAAGAGUUCAAAUAGUCGAGCCUAUGGAGAACACUCCUAUUCAAAGGAUUAUAGGAUCUGGAUAUAUAUAAAGAAGUGCAAAAAUGAAAUACCAAGAAAAUAAAGUUGCCAGUCAGCAAGUAAGCUGAUGAACUGAAUGGACAGUUUCGCAAAAAGAAAUCUGAAUGGACAUCAACUGUCUUUAAACAUGUUUAUCAUCCCCAGUCAUCAAGAAAAUGCAAAUUAAAACUAUUUUGAAAUAACAUCUCACGUCAUCAGAAUGAUUAUCAUCAAAAAAAUUGACAAGAAAUAAUAGAGAUGAGGAAAAGGAGGAACUUUUAUUCACUGCUGAUAAGAAUAAAAAUAGCCACUUUGGAAAUCAGUGUAGAGGUUCUUCGAAAAAUUACAUAUAGAACUAUCAUAUGACCCGGCUGUUUCACUCCUGGGCUUCUAACCAAAGGACAAUAUGAGUACUCCCAUGGUUAUUUACUAGAGCAAAGAAAUAGCACGAGUAUAGUUGUCAA